GACGAACGCUGGCGGCGUGCUUAACACAUGCAAGUCGAACGGAAAGGCCCUGCUUUUGUGGGGUGCUCGAGUGGCGAACGGGUGAGUAACACGUGAGUAACCUGCCCUUGACUUUGGGAUAACUUCAGGAAACUGGGGCUAAUACCGGAUAGGAGCUCCUGCUGCAUGGUGGGGGUUGGAAAGUUUCGGCGGUUGGGGAUGGACUCGCGGCUUAUCAGCUGGUUGGUGGGGUAGUGGCUUACCAAGGCUUUGACGGGUAGCCGGCCUGAGAGGGUGACCGGCGACAUUGGGACUGAGAUACGGACCAGACUCCUACGGGAGGCAGCAGUGGGGAAUAUUGCACAAUGGGCGGAAGCCUGAUGCAGCAACGCCGCGUGCGGGAUGACGGCCUUCGGGUUGUAAACCGCUUUCGCCUGUGACGAAGCGUGAGUGACGGUAAUGGGUAAAGAAGCACCGGCUAACUACGUG
rnacentral:rRNA from 1 species